UAAAAAAUGAUGUGCUUUUUGGCAGGUGGC
rnacentral:piRNA from 1 species